GGUGGUGUUGGUAGGUGUGAAGGUGGUGAUGUGGUGGUGUGAAGGUGGGUAGGGAAAGGGAAUGGAAAAGUCUAGGGAGGGGUGGGGAAUGAAGUUGGAAGGAUUUGGGGUAAUGGAGAGGUUAAAGGGAAUGAUUAAAAGUGCUUAACAAACAACAACAAAAGGAAUCAGGACAGUUGAUUCCCAUUCCCUUUCCUGAAUACCCCCAACCAAACGGCCCCUAAGUUGAAAAGAUGCUCAUUUACUGAAUUGAGCUGAAUUAGAACCGAACUGAAUUGAAAUGAAUUAAACUUAAAUUAAGAGAAUAGGCCUAAGUCUUUCCUUUUCCCCUCUACCAACCAAACGCCAACAGCAUUUCUCUUGCGAGUAUAAAAGAUUCCAAAUUUCCAAUUUCAGCAAAAAAAAAAAAAAAAAAAAAAAAAGUGUUGUAGCAAAACUGGAAAUGGAGGAAAACACUAGGUUAUCCCACAAGAAUUUAAUGUUGUUCAAAUUCUUUGAAAAAAAAUUAGGAAGAAACCGUUAUGGUCCGAAACUCUUUUCUUCUCCAUUCAAUCUGCUUCUGAGGUUUCAAGUCAGGCAUCAACAUUUCCACGGCCAUCUGUUAGACCUUAAGGAAAGCUAGAAGAAAAACAAAACAAACAUGAGUUUAGAAAUAGAAAGUGGUAGUUUAGGUACAGAUUCGGACUUGAAUGUUUGCCAAGUGAGCCAAUGUUCUGAAUCUGACCAAAUUGUUGAAGAGGUCGAGUAUCAACGAUUGGUUGCAGAAGGAGGGGUGUUUUCUAUAGCAUCUUGCUUACUGAGCGUAAUUUUUUCAUUGCUCAUCUCUUGUGAAGUUGGAAAGACGGCAGCAAAAUACGGUCUUCAUAUUUUUCUUGGAGUUGUUUCUGCUAUAGCUGCUACUGUCUUCUUACGCUAUAAACUCUCUCGACUUUCCUAAUCUAUUUCGCGGCUUCUAGAAGCAGCUAUCAUCCUGCAUUGUGGGGCUCCUAAAACUUGGUAUGGGAUACCUGGCAAUGCGGCUUUGCAGUUUGAGAAGGUUGCGCGAGAACAUACAUGUAUACCAUGAGGAUAUUUUGUCAACUGAUGUAGAAGAUGGAGCGUUUGAUGUACUGCUGGGAAAAAACAACUCUAUUCCCCCCUAGUGUUCUGUUAUAACAUGGUGUCCCUGUUUAUAUGGCUGUGCAAAAGCCUGGGAAAGUUGUAAUCACAUUUCCUACGACAUAUCAUGCGGAGUUUAGCCAUGGUGAGGUUAAUAUCUUAUUGGGUUCAUGUUACCUGCAUAUGAAGUGAUUAAGUUUAAGCACUCAACAUAUAUGAUUGUUUUCCAUUAUGAUCUCUUUCUUUGUGGUGGAGAUGAAACUGGAUUGCUGUUAUUUACAAGUUCCAAGUCCAUUGUUCUAUGUGGCAUAAAUCAUGUCCUCAUGUAUAUAUGGUAAUCUUGUAAGAGUGGAGCACGUGCUUAGAGGCGCCAAGAAGACAAGGAUAUAACCAUCAGUACUCUAGCAACUCUAGGAUGGUAGAUCAAACAUGUGUGAGAUGGUGGUGGUGUUAUAGGCAGAGUAGUAAUGGGUUGAAAUUAUGGGUUUUAAUUUCAUUUGUAGUACGAGUAGUAUUUAAUUUAUGGCUUUAGAUUGUAGAAAUUGAUAGAAUUAGAUAGGUAAAUUAUGAAGUAAUGCAAGAGCAUAUAAGUGAAUAUAUGAUCAAAAUGUAUACUACUACUUGUUUUCAACUUCAAUAUGUGAACUGUGUAGUUAGUAAAGAAAUUAUAUCUUUGUUCUUGAGAUUAUAUGAAUUUUUUUUUUU